AAUUGGAGGGCAAGUCUGGUGCCAGCAGCCGCGGUAAUUCCAGCUCCAAUAGCGUAUAUUAAAGUUGUCGCAGUUAAAAAGCUCGUAGUUGAAUUUCGGGAUUGACGUGAUGGUCGUGCCUUAAGGGGUAUGAACUGUCGCAGUUGAUUUCUCACCUUCUGGAGAAGCAUGAUGUCCUUAAUUGGGUGUCAUGUGGAACCAGGACCUUUACCUUGAAAAAAUUAGAGUGUUUAAAGCAGGCAUUUUGCUCGAAUACAUUAGCAUGGAAUAAUAGAAUAGGACGGCAUGGUUCUAUUUUGUUGGUUUCUAGGAUCACCGUAAUGAUUAAUAGGGAUAGUUGGGGGCAUUAGUAUUCAAUUGUCAGAGGUGAAAUUCUUGGAUUUAUUGAAGACUAACUACUGCGAAAGCAUUUGCCAAGGAUGUUUUCAUUAAUCAAGAACGAAAGUUAGGGGAUCGAAGACGAUCAGAUACCGUCGUAGUCUUAACCAUAAACUAUGCCGACUAGGAAUCAGACGAUGUUAAUUUUUUAAUGACUCGUUUGGCACCUUACGGGAAACCAAAGUGU
rnacentral:rRNA from 1 species